CAAGUACUCACCAUUGUGUUACAGUUGUCUACAGUGUUCAGUAUAGUAACAUUCUGUACAGGUUUGUGUCCUGGGAGCAGUAGGCCAUACCAGGUAGCCUAGGUGUGUGGUAAGCUAUACCUUCUAUAUACCAUUUAAGUUCAUGUGAGUACAUGCUACAGAGUCCACGGAGCGACAAAACCACCUAAGGAUUCUUUUUUCAGAAUGCAUCUGCAUCGUUAAGCAAUGCAUGAUUGUACUUUGAACCUGGCCCGGUGCUCAGAGCUGUGCAGGAAUUGGAAAUUUCAGAAUAUUUUUGGACCGCAGUUGACUGCAGGUAGCAGAAACCUAGGAAAACGAAACUGCCAGUGGGGGACCACUGUAUUCCUAUUAUCAUACCCGUUUUGCACAGGGAGAAACCGAGGUUCCCAGAGGUUAAAAACCUGCCCAAGAUCACACAGGUAAGCAAGUGGCUGAGUCGGGGCUCCGACCCGGGCCCUGAAGCCCCAUCUCAGCUGCUGUGGAUAUUGCCUGCUGCAAGCUCACUGUGUCAGCACCCACCAAAGAUAUACGCCGUGGAAGGGCCCAGUGAGAAAGCAGUGACCAUGUUUUGGAUUUCUCUCCAGGUAAAUAUUUUUUCAAACAGGCCUUCCAUGUGGAAAGGAAUCACCAGAUC
rnacentral:lncRNA from 1 species